CUACGGGGCGCUCCAGUGGGGAAUUUUGCGCAAUGGGGGAAACCCUGACGCAGCAACGCCGCGUGAAGGAUGAAGGCCUUUGGGUCGUAAACUUCUGUCAGAGGGGAAGAAAUACUCGCAAGAGUGCUGACGGUACCCUCAAAGGAAGCACCGGCUAACUCCGUGCCAGCAGCCGCAGUAAUACGGAGGGUGCAAGCGUCGUUCGGAAUUAUUGGGCGUAAAGAGCAUGUAGGCGGACUGUUAAGUCUGGUGUGAAAGCCCGGGGCUCAACCCCGGAAGUGCAUUGGAUACUGGCAGUCUUGAGUAUGGGAGAGGAAAGUGGAAUUCCGAGUGUAGGAGUGAAAUCCGUAGAUAUUCGGAGGAACACCAGUGGCGAAGGCGGCUUUCUGGACCAAUACUGACGCUGAGAUGCGAAAGCGUGGGGAGCAAACAGGAUUAGAUACCCGGGUAGUC
rnacentral:rRNA from 1 species